rnacentral:rRNA from 1 species
AGUGAACGCUGGCGGUAGGCCUAACACAUGCAAGUCGAACGGCAGCACAGGAGAGCUUGCUCUCUGGGUGGCGAGUGGCGGACGGGUGAGGAAUACAUCGGAAUCUACUCUGUCGUGGGGGAUAACGUAGGGAAACUUACGCUAAUACCGCAUACGACCUACGGGUGAAAGCAGGGGAUCUUCGGACCUUGCGCGAUUGAAUGAGCCGAUGUCGGAUUAGCUAGUUUGCGGGGUAAAGGCCCACCAAGGCGACGAUCCGUAGGGGGUCUGAGAGGAUGGUCAGCCACACUGGAACUGAGACACGGUCCAGACUCCUACGGGAGGCAGCAGUGGGGAAUAUUGGACAAUGGGCGCAAGCCUGAUCCAGCCAUACCGCGUGGGUGAAGAAGGCCUUCGGGUUGUAAAGCCCUUUUGUUGGGAAAGAAAUCCAGCUGGCUAAUACCCGGUUGGAUGACGGUACCCAAAGAAUAAGCACCGGCUAACUUCGUGCCAGCCGCCGCGGUAA